UUCGUAGGUGGCCAACUUAGUCAGACGUGAAAUCCCUCAGCUUAACUGGGGAACUGCGUCUGAUACUGGAUGGCUUGAGUGCAGGAGAGGAACGCGGAAUUCCUAGUGUAGCGGUGAAAUGCGUAGAUAUUAGGAGGAACACCAGUGGCGAAGGCGGCUUACUGGACGGUAACUGACGUUGAGGCUCGAAAGCGUGGGGAGCAAACA
rnacentral:rRNA from 1 species